CAAGCUAGAGUGUNUCAGAGGGGGGUAGAAUUCCACGUGUAGCAGUGAAAUGCGUAGAGAUGUGGAGGAAUACCGAUGGCGAAGGCAGCCCCCUGGGAUAACACUGACGUUCAUGCUCGAAAGCGUGGGUAGCAAACAGGAUUAGAUACCCUGGUAGUNCACGCCCUAAACGAUGUCAAUUAGCUGUUGGGCAACUUGAUUGCUUAGUAGCGUAGCUAACGCGUGAAAUUGACCGCCUGGGGAGUACGGUCGCAAGAUUAAAACUCAAAGGAAUUGACGGGGACCCGCACAAGCGGUGGAUGAUGUGGAUUAAUUCGAUGCAAUGCGAAGAACCUUACCUGGUCUUGACAUGUACGGAAUCUNUCAGAGACGGGAGAGUGCCUUCGGGAGCCGUAACACAGGUGCUGCAUGGCUGUCGUCAGCUCGUGUCGUGAGAUGUUGGGUUAAGUCCCGCAACGAGCGCAACCCUUGUCAUUAGUUGCCAUCAUUAAGUUGGGCACUCUAAUGAGACUGCCGGUGACAAACCGGAGGAAGGUGGGGAUGACGUCAAGUCCUCAUGGCCCUUAUGACCAGGGCUUCACACGUCAUACAAUGGUCGGUACAGAGGGUCGCCAAGCCGCGAGGUGGAGCCAAUCUCACAAAACCGAUCGUAGUCCGGAUUGCACUCUGCAACUCGAGUGCAUGAAGUCGGAAUCGCUAGUAAUCGCAGGUCAGCAUACUGCGGUGAAUACGUUCCCGGGUCUUGUACACACCGCCCGUCACACCAUGGGAGUGGGGGAUACCAGAAGUAG
rnacentral:rRNA from 1 species